ensembl:lncRNA
GUAAUUAUCCUAUUCUAGUCAAAGGACAACAGGUCCAUUUUCAACCGUGGGGUUCACAGGACUUAGAGGGGGUCAUUUCUAGACUCCCUAACAUAAUUAACGGGCGUCUAAAUGGAUUAGAACAUUUGAGGAGCUCACAGUGGGAAAGCUAAUUGCAGUGGGGGACCUGAAAGCUAUGUUGGCAAGAGUGUUGGGGUUAUCCAAGAUGGAGUUUGUACUGAGGAAUGGAGGGUUGAAUAUACUGGAUGGAAAGUAUGAUGAGAUUACACUUGAUCAUUACAGAGGGGCGUUGUGGGCCACACUCAAGAGGGAGUUCCCGGUCCGCAUGGAUCCUAAAGACAUGAGAGUUCUCCCCAUUGGUGACACAGAGAACCCUGCAUCCUACCUGCAGGCCCAAGUAGACAGAUGGCGCAUGGAGACGGAUGAGGAUCCUGAGAUCCAUCCGGUGUUCUCUGUCAUGUUUAGAAACUCUGUGAUAGAGACACUACCAGCCAAAUCAAAGCCAAGCUAGAGGAUGUGGUUGGACUGUCUACAUCAGGAUCUCAUAGAGAUUUUAAUGACCAUUUAGUUCAUGCAGUGGCUGAAUAUCGUCAGAAUAAACAAAAAAUACAGGAACAAAGCAAGGAGGUUCAGAGGAAGCUAUAUCAGCUUCAGCUGGAAGAUCUCACAAGGAAGGAAAGAGAUAAGAAGAGACAGGCAGGUGUUUUAGAACCAGCUGCUGUAAUAUCGCAAGCCGCCCAGCAGGGCGCACUUCAAAACCAAUAUCCAAGAUUGGCAUUUUCUCUCCCAGUACAACAGCCUCAGAGCCAACUGUCACCUACUCCACCUGUUACACAUGUACACAUCCAUAAUUAUGGGAACCCCACAAAUAAAAAUAGACAUAAUCAGGGGCCCCGAGGACAGUUUAGAAACAAUCAACAACAAGGAUCCCAAGGACAACGCAGAGGUCCUUUAAUAUGUUAUGGGUGCAACAUGGAAGGACAUAUUAGGAGGAAUUGUUUGGCUAACCCCUAUCCACCACAGCAAGGACAGGGUAACAGCUUUCAGGGAAGACAGGAACAAGGAGGUAGCUACCAGGCGGGUCCCUUUGUAGGUCAGGGAUACUAGGGGUGCCCAGAGAAUCCACAGGGGGAGGGUCAGCUUGUAGCAAUCACAAAACAAGCUGAUGAGGAACCAAUACUGCAGGUUCUGAUAAAUUAUAGAGGCACGCCAAUGAUGGCCCACACUGGGGCCACUUACACUUGCGUAGGUCCAAAUUAUGCCUCUCACCUUCCCCCUGGCAGGAAAAUUCACCAAAACUUUAGGAUUCUCCGAACACACGCAGUUAACACCUAUGACAGUUCCAAGGAUGACAAUCAGUGAAUUCUUAUUUUAAGUUGUAUAUGUGAGUGAGUGAGUGAGUGAGUGAGUGAGUGAGUGAGUGAGUGAGUGAGUGAGUGAGUGAGUGAGUGAGUGAGUGAGUGAGUGAGAGAGAAAGAGUUAGCAUUGAGUUGGCUUUCCGGUUAGAAUUUUCUUUGGGGACAUUCAUAUCUUUCGAUGGCCUUUUAAGAUUAAUAAUCUAGUUUUGGAGUGUGUCCAACAGAGGGAAAGAGAUUGAAUUUGCAUUGUGUUCAAUAGAUUAUUUGUGCGUUUGGAUGUACUCUGUAAUUGGUUCCUGAAUGUAACCCUUGUCCACUGUUUUAGAAAAAACGUAGAACCACCACUGGGAUGGGUGAUUCUGUGGUUCUUGGAGACUCUCCAACGCAUCGGAACACCAUAUGGUAUAUAUCAUUACAUCUUGAUACACAGAGCACUGGUGAGACAACAGGUUGGAUCAGAGGGAGAAGGUGUUUGGAGAAGGGAGAGGAAUGUAAUGACAGCAAAAAGGGCGGACACGGAUCGACCCGGAGGUAAUAAAUCAGCGGAGAGGUGGCUGGGGUCGUUUAGCUCAGGAGGUAGAGCAGUUGUCUUGUAACCGAAGGGUUGCUGGAUCGAUCCCCAUCUCUCCUAGCUGAGUGUUGAUGUGUCCCUGAGCAAGUUACAUGGUGAUUACAGGAUUUAGGAAUAAUUAUUUAGACUCAAACAUGAGCAAUUAGCGUUAAAAAUUGUCUGCACACCACACUCCACAGGAGUCAAUGGGUUCAAUGGCGCCAGGGUAAAGUGACUCAUCAAACGAGGAGCGGACCCAACCCAUGGAUUCUGCGUGGAUAGGUGGAUGCUAUUUUGGUGCUUGGGCCUGACGAGGUCUAGGUGCCAAGAUAACAACACAAAUUAAAUAUUUCCUUCGAGAUUAUGAUAAGUAAUAGACAAUUUAUUAAAAGUGAUCUUAUAAUUCAGAAAAAACAAUCAGCAAUACUUAAAAAUUAGACCAAAUAAGUAUGAUAAAACGUUAUCCAAAUUUCUAAGUUACUAAUUACUAAAUAGAAACAAUGUAUCAAUUCAGUGUUGAAUAAACUAGUUAAGAUCAACAUAGAGGGUUUGGGUUUGGUAUAGUAGUGAAUCAAAAUAUGGAAAACACUAAAUGCAAGCAAUAGGUAGAAUAAAAGGUUUAAUUAGGUCGUCCAAUUUAAAUAAAUAGUGAAGGGCAAUCGGGUAGGAUUAUGAAGAGAAUUGUGAUUUUGAGUAACGGUUAAGACAAAAGUGAGUCGCCCAAUAUUGAAGAUGCAAGUUUUAAUAUUGUGAUUUUUGUUUUGUUUCACAUCUCCCUAGUUAAGGACAAUAGGUGGAUUGACGCUACAUCUGCUGGGAAGGAGACAUACAUGCUAUGUUGUCAAAUUGGAUUCGGAAGUAAUGGGUGGAAGCAGUCCCAUCAGAAGACCAAAGUGCGGCUACGGUAAUCAAGGCUCUGACGAGAGAAGUCAUGGCAAGGUUUGGAAUUCCGUCACAAAUUAGCUCAGACGACAGAGCAGCGUUUGUUCAGAAAACACUCAGACAGGUGAUUUAACAUCUGCAUGUCAAAUAAAGACUAGUCCGUGUCUACAUUCCUCAAACCACAAGGUAUGGUGGAGAGAGGAAUGGGACGCUUAAGACAAAGAUUAACAAAAUUAAAUUAGAGUACUAAAUUGGAGGACUAAUGCACUACGACUGACACUAAUGAGUUAUCGCAUGAAAACUAACAGAACGACGCAUCUAACCCCGCAUGAAAUGCUUACGGGUCGACCCAUGCCUUCACCUGUCAUUCGAGGGCCUCAUAAAGGACCUCCAUUAGAACAAUUGGAAACUGAAUUAAGACGUUAUAUGGGACAACUAACUGGCAUACAAAGGCUUAUUUUUCAACAAGAGAAAGACAGAGUUCCAGAGUUGGAGAAGGAGCCACCAAGGGGGGUGGAGCCAGGUGACCAAGUGUAUCUCAGGAUGUUCAGGAGAAAGUGGAACGAGCCCAGAGAAGGACCAUACAAAGUCACCAACGCAACACCAACAGCCAUCCAAGUGGAAGGAAGUGCCACGUGGUAUCAUCUCAACCACUGCACAAAAGCCGCUCAACCUAAAGCCAGGGAUGAGCAUGAGGAGGAGGAGCCAGACGCAGACACGCCUGGGGCUGACCAGCUGCCCCAGGACCAGAUCCAGUUGAGUCAAGAGAUUCAGCAACAUGAUAAUGCUGAAAACGGGGAGCCUGUUCCUGAUCCUUUACGGGUUGUGCCAGAUUCCGCUGGCACAAGGACAGACCCCGAGGAAGGAUGAAACCACGGAGACAACACAGACCUGGAAGAGCCAGGAAUCAGGGGCUGGUACUGAAGGAAGCCAGAGAGAAUAUAUACUUCUUAAAGCUGUGGCUUGGCAGAACAGACAGGCCUUAGAUUGGCUUUUAGCAGAAAAGGGGGGAGUUUGUGAUCUUAUAGGUGAAAUGUGUUGUACCUUCAUUCCAAAUAAUACUGCCCCAGAUGGAUCAUUUACACUUGCGAUGAACAAUUAAAAACGUUUAAGAAAAGAAUUAAAGGAAAACGCAGGCCAUGAUCAGGGAAUGUUUGGAUGGCUUGAAACAAAGUUUGGUAUGUGGGGAAUGAUGUUCGCAAAGAUAGGAGUAGUGCUCCUAAUAGUACUAACAGUGAUGGGUCUGAUCUUUUGCUGCUGCAUUCCCAUAGUCAGAUCCGUAAUAGCAUCCAGGCUUUCUAAAGAGAUGGCCCUCAUGGUGACUGGCAUAGAGGAGGGUUGGGAGGGAGAGGGUGCGCCGAGAGGAUGGUCGCACUGACAAUGGCUCUGCAUGCACUACGCAGCUUUAUGUUUAUAAUUGUUUUUAUUGUUAGUUUUUUUGUCGCUCAUUCAGUAUGAUCGACUGGCACUUUUGGAAAUUCGUGAGUCACAGCGAGUGCUUGCUGUGACUCCUUUGUCUUACCGCCGGUAUGCCUACCAAUACGCCGACGGAAGAGAAAGAAGAGAGGCAAGCGAGCCGGCAUCCUGUGCAGAUCUCGGACGAGAUACUGCAACCCACCGCUUCCAAG